rnacentral:lncRNA from 1 species
AGGUGGAUGCGGCCUCGAUUAGCGGGGGAACCACAUGAAAAAAAGCGAGCUACUGGGUGUACCUCCUGGGUAGUUUGGAAAUCACCUAAGAUAUAUAUGUAUAUAUUUAUAAAUAAAAGUUAAUAUAUAUAAAUUAACAUUAAUUUUUUUUAACAGGAAAUGCACAAUGCUAAAAACUGCGUAGGAGAUUUUAAUACAAUAGUACUACCAAGCCUGAUGUUGGCCGCUAUUUCAAUGAAUGCAGCAGUGUCACAGCUAGCAAUCAAAAGUAACAAGAUAUUGAGGAAAUGCAGAUGGCAAUAAACUGUGUAGGAGUUCAUGAUUGCAAUAGAAUAAAAUCGACCAAGCCUGAAGUCAGCAGCCCCUUCAAUGAAUGCAGCAGUGUGACAGCCAGCAAUCAAAAGUUACAAGAUAUCGAGGAAAUGCAGAAGGCAAAAAACUGCGUAGGAGAUCAUUAAUACAAAAGUAUUAUAUAAACCAAACCUGAUGUUGCCAGCUCCUUCAAUGAAUGCAGCAGUGUGACAGCCAGCAAUCAAAAGUAACAAGAUAUCGAGGAAAUGCAGAAGGCAAAAAACUGCAUAGGAGAUCAUUAAUACAAUAGUAUUAUAUAAACCAAGCCUGAUGUUGGCCGCUCAUUCAAAGAAUGCAGCAGUGUGACAGCCAGCAAUCAAAAGUAACAAGAUGUCGAGGAAAUGCAGAGUGCAAUAAACUUUGUAGGAGAUUAUGAUUGCAAUAGAAUAAAAUCGACCAAGCCUGAAGUUCUUCAAUGCACGCAGCAGUGUGACAGCCAGCAAUCAAAAGUUACAAGAUAUCGAGGAAAUGCAGAAGGCAAAAAACUGCGUAGGAGAUUAUUAAUACAAUAGUAUUAUAUCAACCAAGCCUGAUGUCGGUAGCUUCUUCAAUGAAUGCAGCAGUGUGACAGCCAGCAAUCAAUAGUGAUAGUGACAAGAAUCUAGGAAAUACAGAAGGCAAAGAAGCAGAUGUCAUCAAAGAAGAUCUUUGUUCCUGCAAUGUUUCCGCAGACGAUACAUCCAACAGAGCGAAGUGGAAGGAAAAGACUCGGAAAAAAGACCCCACCACCAUAUGGGAACAAUGCAAGGGAGAGAGAGAGAAUAUAAUUUUAUAUUUUUAUUUUUUGAUAACAUAAAAUAAACCAACAAUAUCCUACACAUUUUUUUUAUUUCUUUUUGUGUCUGUCUUAAUAGUUAUUACAAAUCUGUGAUGCGAAACAAACUAUACGAAAACGUCAAUCCACGUACAACGCCCGCGAAGCUGCUUUA